GCAUGCUGCAGUCGACGAUUGGACGACGCUGGCGGCGUGCCUAAUACAUGCAGUCGAGCGGAGCCAACAGUUUCCUUCGGGAAACCGUUAGCUUAGCGGCGGACGGGUGAGUAAUACGUAGGUAACCUGCCCUUGAGACCGGGAUAACUCACGGAAACGUGGGCUAAUACCGGAUAGUCGGUUUCCUCGCAUGAGGGAAUCGGGAAAGGCGGAGCAAUCUGCCACUUAUGGAUGGACCUACGGCGCAUUAGCUAGUUGGUGGGGUAACGGCUCACCAAGGCGACGAUGCGUAGCCGACCUGAGAGGGUGAUCGGCCACACUGGGACUGAGACACGGCCCAGACUCCUACGGGAGGCAGCAGUAGGGAAUCUUCCGCAAUGGACGAAAGUCUGACGGAGCAACGCCGCGUGAGUGAUGAAGGUUUUCGGAUCGUAAAACUCUGUUGUUAGGGAAGAACAAGUACCGUUCGAAUAGGGCGGUACCUUGACGGUACCUAACCAGAAAGCCACGGCUAACUACGUGCCUGCAGCCGCGGUAAUACCUAGGUGGCAAGCGUUGUCCGGAAUUAUUGGGCGUAAAGCGCGCGCAGGUGGUUUCUUAAGUCUGAUGUGAAAGCCCCCGGCUCAACCGGGGAGGGUCAUUGGAAACUGGGAGACUUGAGUGCAGAAGAGGAAAGUGGAAUUCCAAGUGUAGCGGUGAAAUGCGUAGAGAUUUGGAGGAACACCAGUGGCGAAGGCGACUUUCUGGUCUGUAACUGACACUGAGGCGCGAAAGCGUGGGGAGCGAACAGGAUUAGAUACCCUGGUAGUCCACGCCGUAAACGAUGAGUGCUAAGUGUUAGAGGGUUUCCGCCCUUUAGUGCUGCAGCUAACGCAUUAAGCACUCCGCCUGGGGAGUACGGCCGCAAGGCUGAAACUCAAAGGAAUUGACGGGGGCCCGCACAAGCGGUGGAGUAUGUGGUUUAAUUCGAAGCAACGCGAAGAACCUUACCAGGUCUUGACAUCCCUCUGAAUCCUCUAGAGAUAGAGGCGGCCUUCGGGACAGAGGAGACAGGUGGUGCAUGGUUGUCGUCAGCUCGUGUCGUGAGAUGUUGGGUUAAGUCCCGCAACGAGCGCAACCCUUGAUUUUAGUUACCAGCACUUCGGGUGGGCACUCUAGAAUGACUGCCGGUGACAAACCGGAGGAAGGCGGGGAUGACGUCAAAUCAUCAUGCCCCUUAUGACCUGGGCUACACACGUACUACAAUGGCCGGUACAACGGGAAGCGAAGCCGCGAGGUGGAGCCAAUCCUAAAAAGCCGGUCUCAGUUCGGAUUGCAGGCUGCAACUCGCCUGCAUGAAGUCGGAAUUGCUAGUAAUCGCGGAUCAGCAUGCCGCGGUGAAUACGUUCGCCGGGUCUUGUACACACCGCCCGUCACACCACGAGAGUUUACAACACCCGAAGUCGGUGAGGUAACCCGGUUGCAACUUGUUGCAACUAGGAGCCGGCCGCCGAAGGUGGGGUAGAUGAUUGGGGUGAAGUCGUAACAAGGUAACC
rnacentral:rRNA from 1 species